GUCUCUCUCUCUCUCUCGCCCUGUUCUUUCGUCUUUCUCUCCCCGACCUCUCCUCUUCUCUGAUCUGGCUUUACGUUACCCUCGCCCUACUGCGCCGCCGCCACAAGCCGCGACUCAAUCUCUCGAUCUCGACCCUGAGUGACAGCGGCAACCGCAAGCCCCGUUCAUUCUUUCCCACCAGCGUACCCUAGGUGUCCUCCUCGUACUCUCAUUUAUGACGACCUCAACAUAGGGAGUCCAAGGAUUCAUCCCAACCCACCUCAGCGUCAAGUGAACAGUACAAGAUAUACGCACAAUGAAGCAGCCAUAUUUGCUGAUGGUAUUUAAGCGAGAGAUGAAGGGAAGGCCGGAAUUCACCUGCAAUAAUUUUUGCAGAAAAGUUGCCAUGCGGCUGGUUAGAGAUAUAGUAAGGGUGAGAGCUAGGAACACAUUAAAGCCUAAGCCAUGAUAAAUGAAUAGCAGAUCAACGAAUUUGUUGCCGGAGCAGCUGCCCACCCCAUCCCCAUGUAACGCUUUCUUGUAUGCAAUCGAAGCCCAGACACGACUGAUGAGAAAUCAAAGGCAUCGUCGUCCGCCGCCAGAAAACUCCUUUUUGCCUACGAUAUCCUUCUCUAUGUGCAAGGAACGAUGGUUCUGGUUGCAUACUCAAUAAGGUCAGUUGGCUGUUGCUUGAUUUAAAACUGGGGCAACAAGUUUCUUGAUUUGCCCCGUGGCAACCUUUUUUCUGCCAGGUUGUUUCAAACAAUUAUUCUUCUUCUAUGAAAACACUGAGAUUAUCGUGAAAGGAUUCAGAGUUUUGCUGAAUCCAGAUUGCCACAAACAUGAUGCAAAAUAACAACCAGGACUUUGAAAGAUGGAUGGCGGUGCUUAUUACGUGGUAGAAAUCAAAUAUCAAAAGGAGAAGAUAAUGUUUGCGAAGGAGAGGAGAGAGACAUACAUGCUGGGAAUUCUGGAUCUGAUGCUGUCACAUUGGUCAAGUCCACCGUGCUAGAUGAGAAUCCCUUCGCCAUCUAUGCCAAAGCUUUUUAAGCCAGCAUCAUCCCCGACACCGGUGUGUUCUCCCCGUCAAUGUGCCUCCCCCCAUGCCAACCCUCCUCAGAUAGUCUAGAAGGACUCUAGGAACAACACCUUGCUCGGCUCGCCAUGUGUCCCGGUGGUUGGCCGUGUGCUUUUGACAGACCAGUAGGACUCGAGGAAGAGCACCUUGCCUGGCUCACUAUGUGUCCCGGUGGUUCACCGUGUGUCGUGGCCCUUACCUCCGCAUUGGCAUAUGAUAUUUUCUUUUUUCC